CUUUCGGUACUCAGCGCAGGCAGGGUUCAGUGCAGCAAGUAACAGCUGUGGCUUACUGGAUUGUCUGCAACCAUUGGCGACUGAGAGAUCCCUGCAGCCCUCCCAGACCCUCGAUCUGACUGGAGCCAGGCCCACGUGGGGAAAGGGUUAAACGUUGGCAGUGACUUCACCCCUGCAUUGGAGCAGGCGGAGGCAGAGUAGGAACCUGCUGGAAGCUGUUCUGAACCAGAGAAGGAUGAAAAUAGCUGCCAAAGAUGUUGCCAUAGCAACUGCUUUCCUUCCUGACCUCCUUGGAAGUGAACUCCCUCAUUUUCCAGAGUAGUCAAGGAAUUUCUGUGCCUCUACCCAUGGCUUUGGUUACCAACUCAUCCCUGGGGGCCUUGGUUUCUUUCUGUGAAAUGGAAUAUUCAUUCCAGCACUCACCACCUUCUAGGCUGGAGUAAGGCUCCAACUUUGCAAAUGCUGUUAGUAAACUGUAGAGCUCCGUGCACUUCCACGUGUCUUUACUUGACCAACACUGACACUCCCUUGGGCUAAUGGCUCUAUAAAUUGGAGGAUGGGGCAGCUGACUUGUUCAACAAGCCCAGAGCCCCAGGACAGAGGACCCCUUUGGAGUUUGAUUCCUGUUCUGUCACCAAAAGCCCCUGGGACCUUCAGCAGGUCACGCAGGCCCCCAGGGACUCAUUUUCUCCUGUAAAAGGACGCCUCUCUAGUUAACUCAAGAGGCCCCUUCCAGCUCUGACAUUCCAUGACCCUAAGUUAAAGGCCAGCCUGCUUUCCGUAAUAAAUCUGUGGAACUUACCAUCCAUAUAGGAGGUGAAAA